rnacentral:rRNA from 1 species
UCAAUAAGCGGAGGAAAAGAAACUAACAAGGAUUCCCCUAGUAACGGCGAGUGAAGUGGGAAAAGCUCAACUUURAAAUCUGGCACCUUCGGUGUCCGAGUUGUAGUCUCGAGAAAUGUUUUCCGCGCUGGAACGUGUAUGAGUCUGUUGGAAUACAGCGUCAUAGAGGGUGAGAACCCCGUUCAUGACACGCCUCCCAGUGCUUUGUGAUACAUUUUCGAUGAGUCGAGUUGUUUGGGAAUGCAGCUCAAAAUGGGUGGUAAAUUCCAUCUAAAGCUAAAUAUUGGCGAGAGACCGAUAGCGAACAAGUACCGUGAGGGAAAGAUGAAAAGCACUUUGGAAAGAGAGUUAAAAGUACGUGAAAUUGUCGAAAGGGAAACGCUUGAAGUCAGACGUGCGCGGUCCUCGUGACCACUGCAGGCCAGCAUCGGUUUCAUUAGUCGGAUAAAGGUGAAAGAAGGUAGCAGUCUCGGCUGUGUUAUAGCUUUCAACUGAAUACGAUUGAAGAGACCGAGGGACGCAGCUUAUGCUUAGGAUGCUGGUGAAAUGGCUUUAAACGACCCGUCUUGAAAC